rnacentral:rRNA from 1 species
CCUUGCCAGCCCGCUCAGAACUCAAAGGAAUUGACGGGGCCGCACAAGCGGUGGAGCAUGUGGUUUAAUUUCGAUGAUACGCGAGGAACCUUACCUGGGCUCAAAUGUAUGUUGACGUAUUCUGAAAGGGAUACUUCUUCGGACAAUAUACAAGGUGCUGCAUGGUUGUCGUCAGCUCGUGCCGUGAGGUGUCGGGUUAAGUCCCAUAACGAGCGCAACCCCUAUCAUUAGUUGCCAUCAGGUCAAGCUGGGGACUCUAAUGAAACUGCCUACGCAAGUAGUGAGGAAGGUGGGGAUGACGUCAAAUCAGCACGGCCCUUACGUCCAGGGCUACACACGUGCUACAAUGGCCGGUACAAAGGGCAGCUACCUGGUGACAGGAUGCUAAUCUCAAAAGCCGGUCUCAGUUCGGAUCGGAGUCUGCAACCCGACUCCGUGAAGCUGGAAUCGCUAGUAAUCGUAGAUCAGCACGCUACGGUGAAUACGUUCCCGGGCCUU